GAUGAACGCUGGCGGCGUGCCUAAUACAUGCAAGUCGAGCGAACAGACGAGGAGCUUGCUCCUCUGACGUUAGCGGCGGACGGGUGAGUAACACGUGGAUAACCUACCUAUAAGACUGGGAUAACUUCGGGAAACCGGAGCUAAUACCGGAUAAUAUAUUGAACCGCAUGGUUCAAUAGUGAAAGACGGUUUUGCUGUCACUUAUAGAUGGAUCCGCGCCGCAUUAGCUAGUUGGUAAGGUAACGGCUUACCAAGGCGACGAUGCGUAGCCGACCUGAGAGGGGAAUCGGCCACACUGGACCUGAGCACCGGUCCAGACCCCUACGGGAGGCAGCAGUAGGGAAUCUUCCGCAAUGGGCGAAAGCCUGACGGAGCAACGCCGCGUGAGUGAUGAAGGUCUUCGGUUCGUAAAACUCUGUUAUUAGGGAAGAACAAAUGUGUAAGUAACUAUGCACGUCUUGACGGUACCUAAUCAGAAAGCCACGGCUAACUACGU
rnacentral:rRNA from 1 species